UACGUAGGGUGCAAGCGUUGUCCGGAAUUAUUGGGCGUAAAGCGCGUGUAGGCGGUUCGGUAAGUCUGCUGUGAAAGUCGGGGGCUCAACCCUCGAAUGCCGGUGGAUACUGUCGGACUAGAGUGCGGAAGAGGCGAGUGGAAUUCCUGGUGUAGCGGUGAAAUGCGCAGAUAUCAGGAGGAACACCAAUUGCGAAGGCAGCUCGCUGGGACGUUACUGACGCUGAGACGCGAAAGCGUGGGGAGCAAACAGG
rnacentral:rRNA from 1 species